GAAAUGCGAUAAGUAAUGUGAAUUGCAGAAUUCAGUGAAUCAUCGAAUCUUUGAACGCACAUUGCGCCCCCUGGUAUUCCGGGGGGCAUGCCUGUUCGACCGUCAUUUCACCACUCAAGCCUCGCUUGGUAUUGGGCGACGCGGUCCGCCGCGCGCCUCAAAUCGACCGGCUGGGUCUUUCGUCCCCUCAGCGUUGUGGAAACUAUUCGCUAAAGGGUGCCGCGGGAGGCCACGCCGUAAAACAACCCCAUUUCUAAGGUUGACCUCGGAUCAGGUAGGGAUACCCGCUGAACUUAAGC
rnacentral:misc_RNA from 1 species